rnacentral:lncRNA from 1 species
CCACGAAAUACUCAUUGGGCCAUAAAAAAAAACAAGCCCAGUUUCAAUGUGGGUUUCUUUGCUCUCUCCCCUCCAAAGGACCUUAGUAAUUAUCAUAAAACGACACCGUUUGGAGACCUCCCUUCUGACCAAAAUAACGGGGAAGCAAAGAGAAAAGAACCAAAGACUCGAAACUAACUCGAGCUCUGCUCUUUUGUCUUUCCCUUUCCUUAUUCUAAUUUUUGGCGGAUUAUUUUCCUCUUUCUGGAUUUGAUCUAAUAAAACCACAGCACUCAAUUUUCUCAAACCCUGAUUCUGAGUGUAAUAUUAGCUCAGAACUCUUGUGUUUGCACUCAAAAUGAUAACUUCCAUUGAUCACGUCAAAUGCUUUUUAUAAGCUUACAAUAACCCCAU